UUCCCUUUUACAGGAUGGAAAUUGUGUGAACAAUUUCUAUUGCAUUUCUGAGAUUUUUGCCUUAGCAUAGCUGAGUGCUGAUAGUAAAAAUUACUGCGCCACUAAGAUGGCU